GCGAGGAGANUCGGUCGGUUGUCGCUGGCCUUUUGCUAGGCAUGUGCACGCUUUCCGAGGAGACCUCGCCUUAUGGGCGCGGGCCCAGCGCCCGCGUCUUCAUAUACCUCUUCGUGUAGAAAGUCUUUGAAUGUUUAUACUAUCGUCGAGUCGCGACUUCUAGGAGACGCGGUUCGACGAGACAAAAGUUAUUACAACUUUCAGCAAUGGAUCUCUUGGCUCUCGCAUCGAUGAAGAACGCAGCGAAUCGCGAUAUGUAAUGUGAAUUGCAGAUCUACAGUGAAUCAUCGAAUCUUUGAACGCACCUUGCGCUCCUCGGUGUUCCGAGGAGCAUGCCUGUUUGAGCGUCAGUAAAUUCUCAACCCCUCUCGAUUCGCUUCGAUAGGGCGUUUGGAUAGUGGGGGCUGCCGGAGACCUCGACUUUUCGUCUAGGACUCGGGCUCUCCUGAAAUGAAUAGGCUUGCGGUCGGCUUUCGACUAUGCAUGACAAGGCUUUCGGCGUGAUAAUGAUCGUCGUAUGCUGAAGUGCAUGAAUGAACGUCCCGUGCCUCUAAUGCGUCGAUGCCUUCGGGCGUCUUCUUUAUUGACUUUUGACCUCAAAUCAGGUAGGACUACCCGCUGAACUUAAGCAU
rnacentral:rRNA from 1 species